AAAAGCAUCUAGGCAUCGGAAGGAUCCAGAAGAGCAAGUCCGAAAACAGAUUCCUUGCAGGGCUCAGAAGAUGUCGAAGUCCUUCAUUCACACCAAGAAGUCCACAGUCGUGGGAAAGAGGUGGAGCAGAGAGAUUCCUUACGGUACUGAUGUUCCUUAGAGCCUUAAUGGCUCGGUCAAGCAAGACAACAAAGACAAGAGCCGCAUGCUCGCAGAGGUGGGGCGGCUGUAGAGCAACGGACGCCCCUGGUUGAUGAGCGCUGCCGCUCUAUUUUGGUUGCCCUGGCUGCUUGGCAGCCCGAGGCGUGCGGCUGGAGCUCGUCACUCUCCCAUACAUCAAAAAUCUUGCGCGGUGCGAUUUGUGUUGAGACUCUGACUGGGAAUCAGCAGACCCCAAAUCAAAUUUCUUGUCGGGAGGCCAUCACCAAACAAGGACGUAUGGUUUUUGUCUGGUAUGCAAGUCAUGUAUUCAUAUACAGCCCGGCUCUCCUUAUGCUUGUCUUGGCGAUGCUAGCCUGAUUGGUCACAUAUAUCUCUAGAAGGCAUUUCCGAUGCAUCCUAUUUCUAAAAAGUGUUCCCAUUCAACUAUUGGCUCCGCAACCAUUGUCUUAAACAUUUCCACCCCUCCUAGAGUGAUGAUUGCACUUUCGAGCAUUUCUGUUGCUACAUGAGAAAGCUAGUUAUUUA